AGGGCUUUUUCCUGUUUACCCCUCAUUCACAAGCACUCCCUGUCUGACUGCUGUCCCUGGGGGGAGUUCACUGCAUGGCUCAGAUGGACACAUUCCAUUCUGCAGAUUGUCUGUCUGCCGAGCACAUCACUGUUAUUCGCUGGGUACUAUUAGUGGCAUUCACUUGCACUAAGCAAUCUGCCUGAGAAACCAGGGGAAAAACAGCAAAUUGAAAAAUGUACACUCAGACUACAUUCAAGAUGUGACCUGGAAACUUGGAUUCUGUAAUAGCCAAGGACAGAAACAUCUCUUCACUUACAACCAGGAGCAACAGUGCUGGAGCUGCAUUUCACCCUGCUGGUUUGGAGAAGGAGGGGCCUGCCUGCUGUGUGUCCCCAUGCUCCCCAAAAUUCUGGACGGGCUCAGGUCUAAAGCCCAGACCUUGAAGGCACACAUAAACCUGGAGGUUUGCAGAUUUGGAUCUCUCAAUUUGCUCCAGGGAAACAGAGGUGUGUGACUGCAGAUUUAUAUCUGAAUAACACACCAAGUUCCAUCACUGUAACAAAUCUUUCUGAUGCAUUUCAGAGUGCUUAAGUUGGAUUAACUACCCCAGCUCUCUCCCUCCAGCCCCCCAGCUCAGCAUGGGGCAGGGCACUGUCACACUACAGCAGGCAGCACAGCACCAAGCAAACAGGAGGAAGAUAUGCAUCUUGCCAUCAGAGGGGACACGGUUCAGCAGAGCACUAAAAGCUGUGUGUGAGCAGAAGCAGCUUGUGUGCAGGGAAAGCUAGGCAAUGAAGCACUGCAACUUGCAAAGGGGUCAGGGGAGCAAGAGGUGCUUGACACUCAUGCGUUGCCCCAGCAAGGAGGUUUCACAAGUGCAGUCAACCUUUAAGUCAUGGCUGUGCAAGGAGGAGUGGUUUGUGCGCUGGGGUUCUACUUUGCAAUUAAAAGCAUCUACACUAGAUACUACCACUGCUUUUUGUGCUUGCAUUUCCACAAAGCAUUUAUGGUAGUUCUGUGUUCACAAGAUGGAGAUUGUUCUGAAACCCUGUGCAGGUCUCCAGCUUCAUGCGUAGUGGAAAGCAUGGCCAGCUGCAGCAGGGUGAAAUUCCUGCAUCAGGAGCCAGAAGAAAAGGGGAGUUCAGCCAGCAGCAAUGGGCAUCUCUGCACCUUUUUUGCACUGAACUGUUGAAUUGUUACACCAUGGCUCCCAUGAUGGGGCUGCACUACAUGGCUGGCAGGCCAACUCUGCUGCUGCUGUUGGCACUAAAUCUCCCAUCUGUAGGCAAAGUUAAUUAGCAAGAACUACUGAGCCCAGUAUGGGGUCCUGGACAGCCUGAUCUUGUGGCUGGCAACCCUGCCCAUGGCAGCAGGGUUGGAACUCAGUCUUUAAGGUUCCUUCCAACCUAAGCCAUUCUGCGAUUCUGUGAUUUAGUACAAUGCAUCUGCAAAGGCACACUGGGAAGCCAUUGCUGCCUCCUCCCAUCUGCAAGUGCAUCCAUUUCCUCUGGGCUCUGAACUGAGCAGCAUGUGGCUUACAGCCGCUCUGUUCUGUUCAGUGAGAGCAGUCCUUGCCGAUUACAAGAAGCAAAUGUUAGAUGUCACGUCCGGAGAAAUGCCAACCUCCAUUAUCAACAAGAUACUCACAAUUCAUACCAGAGGAGAUGUGUGCCCAGAGGAGCAGUAAGGAGCUGUCACCAUGGCUAUGGUUACAGCAAAUGCUGUGGUCAGCAUCUGUGCUUUUUAGUGACUAAUCUUUCUGUCUAGGAUCAUGCAGAAGAAGGUGACCUAGCAUGCAAGAAUCUUAUCUGUGGGAGGAAAGUUUAUAACCACACCUACCCUGAAGCACAUCCUCACUGGUCAUCCUCACACAGGGGGAUAGUAGGGGCAGGAGUGGCCCUCAGUGAGAGGAACUCCUUGCCCUGAAUACUGCCCCUGGCCUGCCUGGUUCCUGAUCCCAUCAUGAAGGAGGGGGUUUUCUGCAAGUACUUGCAAGGCUGUGUCCAUCUCAACAUUGCCAGCGUGGGACAGCAUUGCUUGUGAUCUUAGUAGUGCUCUCCUGCAAAGCGUCUCCACAUGCUAUAUCACAGAAUCAUAUCUUAGAACAGCUUGGGUUGGAAGGGAACAUAAAGGUCAUUCAGUUCCAACCCCCUGCUUCAGGAAGGAUUGCCAGCCAUUAAAACAGGCAUUAGAUGAAGUUGCCCAGGGCCCUAUCCAAUGUGGCAUUGAGCACCUCCAGGACUGGUGCAGCCUCAGCUUCUCUGGGCAGCCUGUUCCAGCCUUGAUAUAAACAGCUGUAUGUGACAUAGCACUGAUCCUGCUGCAGAGUUCUUCAGUAGCAGUUUAUCCAGAGCAUGUUAAGUAGCUGCACAAGAGAAAACGCAGUCUGCCUGCCUUCAUUUCAUUCUUUCAUCUCAGCCUAAUCCUCUGUUUAUUUCAUUUGGAGCAGCCUACUUCCAUCCUACUGGGGGGAGGGGGAAAAAGCCUCCAUAAUGUUAGCCUGAUUGUUUCUAGGAAUGUAACUUUCAUUAUUAGCCUUAACAUUUUAUUCCAAUUUAGUUCACCAGCAUCUGCACACUCUUUUCUGCAGUUCAUGUCACAUGCUUUACACUGCCCUGUCAUUUAAUUUCAGGAUACAUGCUGUGUGUGACAUGCUUCACAAAGCACAGAUACAUUAUAUCUAAAUCUGCCAAGGCUGAAAGCCAAAAAACUGCGCUGUCCUUACUUAAAAAUUAUCCAGCAGUGAUAUAUCUGUAGUCUGUUUUAAUUUUUCUUUUAUGUUUGUUUUUGAAGUGGUAUCUUAAAAUAAAUAUCAUCAUUUGUACAUCAGAGCUUAUCAGUGUAGAUCAAUUUCCACUCGUGAAGCUUGAAAUCAGACUAGAACUAAAAAAUUCUGGAGCACUUAAAAUUUUCACAGCAAUUUAGUGGAUUUUCAGUAUCUUGUGUUUUGAAAGUAGGUUUCUUUUUACCAGAGGAAUAGAGUGACUUUUGAUCAUCGUGUGCUGAUUACAAAAAGCAGCAAAUCUAUUUUCAGGCAAAGACAGAAGAGUGUGAAGUAUGCUGGUCUUUUUUUGAAACAUUCUCAAAAUCAUUUCUUUCUGUAAUAUGGAACAUCGAAUUUCAGAAUUAAGUAAGUCAUGCCACAGACAAUGUCCUGUGGUACAUCAACUGACAUUGUCAAUAUUGGCAAUGUUUUGGAUAGUCUGACACUAUAGGAUUUCCAGGCUGUAAACACCUCACAGAUGUUGGCCUGUUAGAUUCUGCCCAGUUUUAUUUAAAACUGGAAGCCAACAUAAAAAAUAUUUAAAUUAUUUAAUAAUGACUGUGGAUUUUAAAAGCCUGCAGUGUAAAACUGAAUUCCCAGUAUGAUUUUUCUCCAAUGGCCCUGCUGUUUCUAAUGAAUGUGUGUGAUACAACCCAUCAGGUCAGUGAACCCAGCUGGAGAUGUCUGCGCUGAUGGCCCCGGAGGGCUGCGUGCCCACAGGGAUCCCACAGGGCCAAGCGUCGCGACAGCACAAAGUACCCAGCCCUGGAAAUAAUACACAUUAACCAGCUCUGACUGUGCUUCCUUCCUUGCCUUGUAGAAUAUACAAUAUUUAUGACUGAACUUUAUAAAUGAAUAUCCGAGAGGUUUCUGUGCUAGUUAGAGCAGCGCAGCCUUAUUCCGGGUGAUUCAUUCAUUGAGUCAGGCAGCCAUGCAUGCAGUCAUUCAUAAGUAAUGCUAUGCUUCCCUUCAGCAUGCAACAAUGAUUUACUUUGCCGCUGCCUUUCAGUGUUUGUUCAGCAAACACGCUAAGCUAAAGAGUUCCUAUUUCAAGCUCUCCCAUCAUAAUUAAAGAAACAGCGUUAUCUUGAUACGUGCAUAUGGGGUGCGGUGCAAAGAGCCAAACAGCUAUGUCAGUAGGAACUGACUGCAACACUUGGUCUGACCCACACCUCCCAAACUCUUCUUUCUUCAUCCAUCCAUAAGAGGAAGUUUGUACUUACAAGCAUAACUUCUGCUCUUUUGACACUCUUGCCACAAAAACAGCCCCAUUUUCACAUCCACUGGGACUCAGCUCAUCCCACCUUCAUAAAACCUGGGUCACUGGGACUCAGUUUUCUGUUAUUGGAGUUGUAAGCUUUUGUUGGUUUUUCUGCUUGUUCAGUUUUUGUUUCACUUUGUGUUUUUUGUUUGGUUGGUUUUCUGUUCUUCAUUCCAUGAAGAAUCAAGAUCUGUCCAGAGCUGCAAAUUGGGCAAUAAUGUGUUUAAUUUUUGUAGAGUUGUAGAAUAGGACAUUGGCAUCAUUAUACAAAUGAAAGUGAGGCACUUUGUCUGAGCUAGCCUUUUUUAGUACCCUCUCCACUUAGGGGAAGAGAAUAAGCUUACAUGGAAUUAAAGCACUAUGAGAUACUCUGCAGAUGACUGGUGUGCCUUCGGGUAGCAGCUAAUCUCUGCUCAUAGUGGAGCAACAAGGCCAACUCGAGUAAAUAUCAACAAAUGCACAACUCAUGGCAACAGUCACAACUAACAAAAUCCAGAGUCACACACACUUUGGGUGAAGAAAACUGUUUAUGCAGCACAAGUGCCUUCUUCCCAUUUUUGGAGGGGAAGAGAUUUUUUUUCCUCAUUGCUAAAGAGACUUCUGAGCUGGACAAAUCCCAGUUGAGAAACUUGGUCAUAAAUAAUGUUUUAUUUCACACAAUUCCACAGGAAAAAAAAAAAAAAGGAACUAAAAGUUAAAAAGAUCGCUGGGUGUGACAUGUUUGUACAUCCCAGACAUCUGGGAUAUCACAAUUAGAAAUCCUUUGUGGACAUAAUGACAUCAGUCACAGAAAAGACAACUCAUUUUUUCCUGUUUUCUCAAGAUUUCAAAGCUCUUCACUGUAUCUUUAAGCAUAAAUCAUUGAAUUAGGUUUCAAGCUUAAGGAACUUCAUGCUUUGAAAUUCUUUUGAAGUUGGCAGAUGAUUUUAUUCUUCUGUUUUGCUUUUUUAAUUUUGGUUCUUAGAAAGGAACUUCAGUUUAUCAUCCAUUCUUGUUCUCUUUCAUAACUCAUCAAAGGACACCCUUAUGAAAAGGUCAUAAGAAACAAAUUGGAGGAAGAAUUCUCUACAAUUGCAGAGAAUACAGGCACUCCCAUGUUGUGCAUUUACUGCUGUCUUGCUGAGAAUUAUUUUUAAGCAAAUAAGAGAAGCAGCCCUCCAUUGCUAUGGUUAUACAGCUUCCUGACUUGGUGCUGUAUGACUCUCUGAAGAACCAUCUCCUAAACUGAAACACAAUGAAGCAAAUCAAGAGACACAUCAAAAAUAUAAGACUGUGGAUGGCAUUGGAGAAAGUGAGAAUAGCUGAAGAGAAGUUCUGGCCGAGUCAACUGAAUGCAGACCUACAGGGAAGGAGCCUGCCAUGACUGGGACAUAUAUACAGACUAUAUUUCCUUCCUCACAGAGAAGUGCUCUUGUUCCUUCUGAAGCAAAUUAGGCUGUCUAUACAGCCUAAUUCAUAUCUGGAAAAAUAAAUAAAUAAAUAAAAAUUUAAAGAUGAAUAAAUAAAUAAAUCAAACAAACGAAAAACAAAACAAAACAAAAAACAACCUGUGUUUUUCCUAAACAGCAUGGAAAUAAGUCCUGGAAACACUGGAUUUAUCUACCAGACAUUAGCAAGAUUAUGAUAGUGAGGACCUCCGGUUAUUGAAACCACUCAAAAUAGUUUGUACUGCACUGAAUCUCCCUUUAUUAGUUUGUUGCAUGCUAUCUAAGUCUCAGGUAGGUAGCAAAUUUUGUGGAGCAGAUGUUGCUUUAUGAUUAUUAGCCCAGGCAGUAAAGGGUCAUCGUACCCUCUUCAGAAGCCUGACCACAACAAAGAGAGUGAAUAACACCAGUAUGAGUUGGUAGUAUGAGCAAGUUUCAUACACCAACUGCCUUAAAGCACAAGCUCAGUAAUCAAGGCCAAAGACGUGCAUUAACAACUCCUCUAAGAAGGAGAAUAAUAUGGGUUGAAUGGCAUUUCUUCUCUACUUUUCUCUUUCACUUUGAAUCCAUUCAGACACCUUGAAACCACGUGUAGAAGCUUCACUGACACUCACUGGAGAAUGCUGAGCUGAUUACUUUCUGCUUCCUGGGCUGCUGGGACUCCAGACACCAGUUUCUUUUUGGAUUGUUCGCCAGCUGAAGCCUCAGUGUAUCCAUUUCUACCAUGGAAAUACUUUGGCAACACAACAUCCUGCUGCCUCCAGUGCACAUUCAGAAGGGACAAAAAGCAGUGGCACUGGCAGCAACAGAAGAGAACAUGUGAAUGCUGAGACAGGGAUGACUAUGAGCUUCACACAGAGGAGAUGAAGAAAGGAUUUCCAGUGG